AACGAACGCUGGCGGCAUGCCUAACACAUGCAAGUCGAACGAGACCUUCGGGUCUAGUGGCGCACGGGUGCGUAACGCGUGGGAACCUGCCCUUAGGUUCGGAAUAACUCCCCGAAAGGGGUGCUAAUACCGGAUAAUGUCUUCGGACCAAAGAUUUAUCGCCUUUGGAUGGGCCCGCGUUGGAUUAGCUAGUUGGUAGGGUAAAAGCCUACCAAGGCCACGAUCCAUAGCUGGUCUGAGAGGAUGAUCAGCCACACUGGGACUGAGACACGGCCCAGACUCCUACGGGAGGCAGCAGUGGGGAAUAUUGGACAAUGGGCGAAAGCCUGAUCCAGCAAUGCCGCGUGAGUGAUGAAGGCCUUAGGGUUGUAAAGCUCUUUUACCCGGGAUGAUAAUGACAGUACCGGGAGAAUAAGCGCCGGCUAACUCCGUG
rnacentral:rRNA from 1 species